AAGUAAACUGUAACUGAAAUGUAUAAAACUAAAGGUUUAUUUAGUAAGAAUAAGUAAACAGUGUGUAAAUAUGUGUUCUACAACAACAACGUAAACAAACUGAGUAAACUUUAUCUGAAUGGAUCGCAUAAGAGGAAAGUGGGCGUGUUCCAGCAUAUUGUCUACGGGUUCGCCCACACUGCCCUCACACACUUGGCACUGCCAUGCAGACAACACGUCACACGCAUUGCGCUUGACAAACGGCGACAAGUGUGCUUAAUACGGUAGAACAUGUGAAUGGGUGUGUGGGAAUGUAAGGUCUGUGGAAAAUCAGAAAAAGUAGAAUCCAUAAAGUGAAAGAUGUCAAAUCCAGUCCACCUGAGAGUCGUCCUCGGCGGAGAUGACGCUAGAAAUCUUAGCCUGAUGUCAGGGAUACCAGCAUCUGUGGAUCAACUUGUCCAUGAGAUAAAGACUGCUUUCGUGCUGUCAGUGAGAAUUCAUGCGUAUAACAAAUUUGCCACUUCAAGCCAAGUUUUUGGGAGAAGUAGACAAAUACACACCUAACUUGAUGAAGGUCUUCAGCAAUAGAGGAGGAGCUGCUGGAAAGAAGAUCAGGCUUCUCAUGGCUCCGACA